rnacentral:rRNA from 1 species
AUUGAACGCUGGCGGCAGGCCUAACACAUGCAAGUCGAGAGAGGGGCGGACGGGUGAGUAAUGUAUGGGGACUGCCCGAUAGAGGGGGAUAACUACUGGACACGGUGGCUAAUACCGCAUACUAUCGGAUAACCCAUAUGGGAUUAGCUAGUAGGUUGGGUAAAGGCUCACCAAGGCGACGAUCUCUAGCUGGUCUGAGAGGAUGAUCAGCCACACGGGGACUGGGACACGGCCCAGACUCCUACGGAGGCAGCAGUGGGGAAUAUUGCACAAUGGGCGCAAGCCUGAUGCAGCCAUGACGCGUGUAUGAAGAAGGCCGUAGGGGUGUAAAGUACUUUCAGCGGGGAGGCGUUACCCGCAGAAGAAGCACUGGCUAACGCCGUGCCAGCCGCCGCGGUAAUUC